rnacentral:rRNA from 1 species
UACGUAGGGACCAAGCGUUGUUCGGAUUUACUGGGCGUAAAGGGCGCGUAGGCGGCAAUUCAAGUCAGCUGUGAAAUCUCCGGGCUUAACCCGGAGCGGCCAAGUGAUACUGUUGUGCUAGAGUGCGGAAGGGGCUACUGGAAUUCUCGGUGUAGCGGUGAAAUGCGUAGAUAUCGAGAGGAACACCUGCGGCGAAGGCGGGUAGCUGGGCCGACACUGACGUGAGGAGCGAAAGCUGGGGGGAGCAAACAGG